CUACGGGGUGCAGCAGUGAGGAAUAUUGCACAAUGGGGGGAACCCUGAUGCAGCAACGCCGCGUGGAGGAUGACGCAUUUCGGUGUGUAAACUCCUUUUAUAUGUCAAGAAAAUGACGGUAGCAUAUGAAUAAGCACCGGCUAACUCCGUGCCAGCAGCCGCGGUAAUACGGAGGGUGCAAGCGUUACUCGGAAUCACUGGGCGUAAAGGACGCGUAGGCGGGUUGGAAAGUCAGGUGUGAAAUCCUACAGCUUAACUGUAGAACUGCACUUGAAACUUCUAAUCUAGAGUAUGGGAGGGGGAGAUGGAAUUAGUGGUGUAGGGGUAAAAUCCGUAGAUAUCACUGGGAAUACCUAAAGCGAAGGCGAUCUCCUGGAACAUUACUGACGCUAAGGCGUGAAAGCGUGGGGAGCAAACAGGAUUAGAUACCCUUUAGUC
rnacentral:rRNA from 1 species